rnacentral:ncRNA from 1 species
UCCAAUAGCGUAUAUUAAAGUUGCUGCGGUUAAAACGCUCGUAGUUGAAUUGUGGUCUUAGACAACAGUCCCCCUACAAAGGUGUGGCACGGUUGCUCGAGAUCUUCAUUCGUGGUUGCUGUUGUUGCUCUUCAUUGAGUGUCAAUGGUGCCUCGAGAUUUUACUUUGAAAAAAUUAGAGUGCUCAAAGCAGGUUGUGAUGCCUGAAUAAUGGUGCAUGGAAUAAUAGAAUACGAUCUCGGUUCUAUUUUGUUGGUUUUCGAACCGGAGAUAAUGAUUGAAAGGAACAGACGGGGGCAUUCGUAUUGCUGCGUUAGAGGUGAAAUUCUUGGAUCGCAGCAAGAUGAACAAUUGCGAAAGCAUUUGCCAAGAAUGUUUUCAUUAAUCAAGAACGAAAGUUAGAGGUUCGAAGGCGAUCAGAUACCGCCCUAGUUCUAACGGUAAACUAUGCCAACCAGCGAUUCGCCAAAGUUCAUUUAAGACUCGGCGAGCAUCUUCCGGGAAACCAAAGUGUUUUCGGUUCCG